rnacentral:rRNA from 1 species
CGUACGAUACGAGUUGAUCAUGGCUACAGAACGACGCUGGCGGCAUGCCUAACACAUGCAAGUCGAACGAACCCUUCGGGGUGAGUGGCGCACGGGUGCGUAACGCGUGGGAACCUGCCCUUAGGUUCGGAAUAACGUUUCGAAAGGAACGCUAAUACCGGAUAAUGUCUUCGGACCAAAGAUUUAUCGCCUUUGGAUGGGCCCGCGUUGGAUUAGCUAGUUGGUGGGGUAAAGGCUCACCAAGGCGACGAUCCCAUAGCUGGUCUUAGAGGAUGAUCAGCCACACUGGGACUGAGACACGGCCCAGACUCCUACGGGAGGCAGCAGUGGGGAAUAUUGGACAAUGGGCGAAAGCCUGAUCCAGCAAUGCCGCGUGAGUGAUGAAGGCCUUAGGGUUGUAAAGCUCUUUUACCAGGGAUGAUAAUGACAGUACCUGGAGAAUAAGCUCCGGCUAACUCCGUG